rnacentral:rRNA from 1 species
AGAGUUUGAUCCUGGCUCAGAACGAACGCUGGCGGCAUGCUUAACACAUGCAAGUCGAACGUGAAAGUGGACUUCGGUCCGCGAGUAAAGUGGCGCACGGGUGAGUAACACGUGGAUAAUCUACCCGAUGAUCUGGAAUAACACUUCGAAAGGGGUGCUAAUACCGGAUAAGCUCACGACGUCUUCGGACGAUGUGGGAAAAGGGGGCUUCGGCUCCUGUCAUCGGAUGAGUCCGCGGCCCAUUAGCUAGUUGGUAGGGUAAUGGCCUACCAAGGCGACGAUGGGUAGCUGGUCUGAGAGGAUGAUCAGCCACACUGGAACUGAGACACGGUCCAGACUCCUACGGGAGGCAGCAGUGGGGAAUUUUGCGCAAUGGACGAAAGUCUGACGCAGCAACGCCGCGUGGGUGAUGAAGGUCUUCGGAUUGUAAAACCCUGUCGUCAGGGACGAAGGUUGGGAUCCUAAUACGAUUUCAGCUUGACGGUACCUGGAGAGGAAGCCCCGGCUAACUCUGUGCCAGCAGCCGCGGUAAUACAGAGGGGGCAAGCGUUAUUCGGAAUUAUUGGGCGUAAAGGGCGCGUAGGCGGUUUUGUAAGUAGGAUGUGUAAUCCCCGAGCUCAACUUGGGAACUGCAUCCUAGACUGCAAGGCUAGAGUACUGGAGAGGGUGGUAGAAUUCCACGUGUAGCGGUGAAAUGCGUAGAGAUGUGGAGGAAUACCAGUGGCGAAGGCGGCCACCUGGACAGUAACUGACGCUGAGGCGCGAAAGUGUGGGGAGCAAACAGGAUUAGAUACCCUGGUAGUCC